rnacentral:rRNA from 1 species
GAUGAACGCUAGCGGCAGGCCUAAUACAUGCAAGUCGAACGGUGUAGCAAUACACAGUGGCGCACGGGUGCGUAACACGUAUGCAACCUACCUUACAUUGGGGGAUAGCCUUUCGAAAGGGAGAUUAAUACCGCAUAAGACAGUAACUAGGCAUCUAGUAGCUGUUAAAGAUUUAUCGAUGUAAGCUGGGCAUGCGUCCAAUUAGUUAGUUGGCGAGGUAAUGGCUAACCAAGACGAUGAUUGGUAGGGGAACUGAGAGGUCAAUCCCCCACACUGGCACUGAGAUACUGGCCAGACUCCUACGGGAGGCAGCAGUAGGGAAUAUUGGGCAAUGGGCGCAAGCCUGACCCAGCCAUGCCGCGUGCAGGAAGAAGGCGUUAUGCGUUGUAAACUGCUUUUAUACAGGAAGAAACGACCCUUGCGAGGGGCAUUGACGGUACUGUAUGAAUAAGCACCGGCUAACUCCGUGCCAGCAGCCGCAGUAAAAC